AAUUCUAAAAAAGAAUAAUGUUGUAUCUGUUACAAAAUGCAGUUAUACGUUUGGCAAUGCGUUGAUGUUACUUUUAUUUCCAAACAUAAACAAAUUGACAUGAGUUGUUUCUCACAUAGUUUUGCUACGAUGGUUUCUUUCAUUUCAAGCCUGAUCCUGCAGUUAUGCAAAAACCAAGCUUUCACUGAAGACAAUGGAAAUAUGAAAUGUGAAGAAAUGCAGUAUUAGGCACUUUGUGAUUUAAAAGAACCACAACAGAAAUGAGCAGAAAAAAGCUUCAAUGGAUGAAAAAAAGUUAUACAGACACACAUAAAUGAGGAGAUCCUGAAUAUAACAAUGAUACUUUCAAUAAGUCAUCUACCUAUUUGUAGUGAAAAGCCGCUGAGGUUUACGUAUCAAAUUACAGGAACAUUUUUUUAAAAUAAUGCAUACAACCUGCUGAAUGAUUAAAGUUUCUAAAAUGUUAUUAUAAAAAUCAAUGAAGCUUUGAGCGGAUAACAAAAAAAAAAAUCAAACAAUUUUAUGCUUGUUAGCUGUCUACAACAGUGAAACUAACUCAUGAUUAUGCUGCUUGCACCUGUCACGAACAUAACAGUGAUCUCUGGAGCUGAUUAUUCUAGGACAGUGUAACACUAAUUAUAUCAAAAGAAGAGCAGACUGAGUAAAAUAAUUUUUGAUAUAUGAUGGCUGUUAUAAAUGUCACAUAUCAUAUAGUUACAGUUUAUUCAGUGGCACAAUUAGCUCUUCAUUGCUGGGAACUGGGUAAUGCUAUGCUGUCUUACAUUACAGAAAGUUCACCAAUUCUAAAGAGCUACUUUCAUAAAAGCAGUUUAAAUCAAAUGGGUAAGAGAACACAUUUUUGCAGGCUUAUAUGAAAACACUGAAGAAUGGACAGUAAGAUUAACCAUAAAGAAUAACCUGUUAUUUUAAUGUUGUAAUGGUAAUUGUUAUUCCUGUUCAGGUGAAGAGUGGGAUGGGAAGAAAAUAAUGUUUAACUUUACAUUGAAACUUCAGAGACUAAAAUCAAUAUAUAUGGCACUGUUAUUGCAGACCCUGCACUUCCAACUGUUGAAGCUUGCUGUGAAUGAUAUAAUAAGAAGCUUAAUGCCGGUCACCGGGCGCCUUUCUUGCAGGUCAAGUAUAACAGCUUGCACCAUCACUUCAGCCUGUGUCUCAAUGUCACUGAAGGCCUCUGCUUCUAUUAUUACUUCAUUUAU